CACCGGAGAGACUAUCCUGAAGGAUGGCGCCGAAGGGGUAUCGCCCCAGAAACUCUCAGGCAAAAGGACGGUGCA
rnacentral:ncRNA from 1 species